rnacentral:lncRNA from 1 species
AGCUGACCGGUCAGUGAUAAAUCCAGAUGAAAACAGAUGUGGCAGCAGCCAUUGUGGUACCCAAGUCUCACCUUUCACUUUGCAUCACCUUUAUAUCUAGAAGCAAGAGCCUAGAUGAAAUGCGCCUUAUCUCAUCUCCCUAAGAAAGAACUGUUCUUUUUAAAGACCCUUCUCUGAACUGGGUCAUCUAGGGUGAGUAGGCUUAGAAGGAGUGCUAUGAAUAUCUGCAAGGCAAAUAUCCUUAUAUUUGUCAACCAAGGUAAGAAGGUCACCUUUUUUCCCACUGCUCUGUGAUGAUUGUUGUCUGUAUGUUUUCUUGAUUUUCAAAGUAAAAUACAUAUAUUCUACAUAGUCUGAUAUUUCAAGUAGCAAAGCCAUUCU